CUUCGAAAUAAAAAUGUCCGUUCCGUGUCCUCCAAUGUUCCGAUCCCCAUAUCGCUUUAUGUGCUAUUUUAUGGAUACACGAGUAAUCAGCGUGUCCCCUUAUUUU
ensembl:snoRNA B0348.8 ncRNA